AACGAACGCUGGCGGCAUGCCUAACACAUGCAAGUCGAACGAGACCUUCGGGUCUAGUGGCGCACGGGUGCGUAACGCGUGGGAAUCUGCCCUUGGGUUCGGAAUAACAGUUAGAAAUGACUGCUAAUACCGGAUAAUGUCUUCGGACCAAAGAUUUAUCGCCCAGGGAUGAGCCCGCGUAGGAUUAGCUAGUUGGUGAGGUAAAGGCUCACCAAGGCGACGAUCCUUAGCUGGUCUGAGAGGAUGAUCAGCCACACUGGGACUGAGACACGGCCCAGACUCCUACGGGAGGCAGCAGUGGGGAAUAUUGGACAAUGGGCAAAAGCCUGAUCCAGCAAUGCCGCGUGAGUGAUGAAGGCCUUAGGGUUGUAAAGCUCUUUUACCCGGGAAGAUAAUGACUGUACCGGGAGAAUAAGCCCCGGCUAACUCCGUGCCAGCAGCCGCGGUAAU
rnacentral:rRNA from 1 species